AGAGUUUGAUCCUGGCUCAGGACGAACGCUGGCGGCGUGCUUAACACAUGCAAGUCGAGGGCAGGGGGUGGCAACACUCCCUGACCGGCGAACGGGCGCGUAACACGUGAGCGAUCUACCCUGGUGUGGGGGAUAGCCGGCCCAACGGCCGGGUAAUACCGCAUACGCUCGUUGAGGGGCAUCCCUUGGCGAACAAAGCCUUCGGGCGCACUGGGAGGGGCUCGCGGCCUAUCAGCUGGUUGGUGGGGUAACGGCUCACCAAGGCGACGACGGGUAGCUGGUCUGAGAGGAUGGCCAGCCACAUUGGGACUGAGAGACGGCCCAGACUCCUACGGGAGGCAGCAGUGGGGAAUCUUGCGCAAUGGCCGAAAGGCUGACGCAGCGACGCCGCGUGCGGGAGGACGGCCUUCGGGUCGUAAACCGCUGUUGCCCGGGACGAAUGCCCCUUUCGAGGGGAGUGACGGUACCGGGUGAGGAAGCACCGGCUAACUCCGUGCCAGCAGCCGCGGUAAUACGGAGGGUGCGAGCGUUGUCCGGAAUCACUGGGCGUAAAGGGCGCGUAGGCGGCGCGAGGAGUCGGGGGUGAAAGUCCGGGGCUCAACCCCGGAUCGGCCUUCGAGACUCUCGCACUGGAGCACAGUAGAGGCGGGUGGAAUUCCGGGUGUAGCGGUGGAAUGCGUAGAGAUCCGGAAGAACACCGGUGGCGAAGGCGGCCCGCUGGGCUGUGGCUGACGCUGAGGCGCGACAGCGUGGGGAGCAAACAGGAUUAGAUACCCUGGUAGUCCACGCCGUAAACGAUGGGCACUAGGUGCCUGGGGGAGCGACCCCCUGGGUGCCGGCGCUAACGCAUUAAGUGCCCCGCCUGGGGAGUACGGCCGCAAGGCUGAAACUCAAAGGAAUUGACGG
rnacentral:rRNA from 1 species